CCUACGGGCGGCAGCAGUAGGGGAUAUUGCUCAAUGGGGGAAACCCUGAUGCAGCAACGCCGCGUGAGUGAAGAAGGAUUUCGGUAUGUAAAGCUCUGUCCUCAGGGAAGAAAAUGACGGUACCUGAUUAAGAAGCUCCGGCUAACUACGUGCCAGCAGCCGCGGUAAUACGUAGGGGGCAAGCGUUAUCCGGAUUUACUGGGUGUAAAGGGGGCGUAGACGGCAUGACAAGUCAGGAGUGAAAUGCAGGGGCUUAACCCAGGAACUGCUUUGGAAACUGUGGAGCUAGAGUGAAGGAGAGGUAAGUGGAAUUCACGGUGUAGCGGUGAAAUGCGUAGAGAUUAGGAGGAACACCAGUGGCGAAGGCGGCUUACUGGGCUGUAACUGACGCUGAGGCUCGAAAGCGUGGGUAGCAAACAGGAUUAGAUACCCGUGUAGUC
rnacentral:rRNA from 1 species